rnacentral:rRNA from 1 species
CCGGCGACCGGCGCACGGUGAGUAACACGUAUGGAACCUGCCGCAGCAAGGGGAUAAGCGGAAGAAAUUCCGUCUAAUACCGCGUAACAACGUUGGGAGGCAUCUCCCGAUGUUUAAAGAUUUAUCGGCUGCGGAUGGCCAUGCGGCGCAUUAGCUAGUCGGCGGGGUAACGGCCCACCGAGGCGACGAUGCGUAGGGGUUCUGAGAGGAAGGUCCCCCACACUGGUACUGAGACACGGACCAGACUCCUACGGAAGGCAGCAG